GACGAACGCUGGCGGCGUGCUUAACACAUGCAAGUCGAGCGGAGCGGCGAACGGGUGCGUAACGCGUGAGUAACUGCCCCCCUCUCUGGGAUAACAGUUGGAAACGGCUGCUAAUACCGGAUAGUGGGGGAUGACUCGCGUCCUAUCAGCUUGUUGGUGGGGUAGUGGCCUACCAAGGCGACGACGGGGAGCCGGCCUGGGAGGGCGGCCGGCCAAAAUGGGCUGGGAUACGGGCCAAAACCCUACGGGGGGCAAGAGUGGGGAAUAUUGCAAAAUGGGGGAAACCCUGAUGCAGCAACGCGCGUGCGGGAUGACGGCCUUCGGGUUGUAAACCGCUUUCAGCCAUGACGCGGUAGUGGCAGAAGAAGCACCGGCUAACUACGUGCCAGCCGCCGCGGUAAUUC
rnacentral:rRNA from 1 species